AGGGCCCCAGUUUCCCCCCUCCCCAAGGGCCCUUCAGCAUCUUCCAUCCAGGCCCUGUCAGCCUCCUGUCCUUCCCUCUGGCUCCAGGAGAUCAGAGUCCUCCAAGAAAUGCAGCUGUUUCAUGACAAGAGGGAAUUAUCAUCUUCAGACUCAGGAGGACUCUGGGGUUUGUUUCAAGUCCAUGGAGCAGCACAGUCCAAUUGAGAGCUACAGCCUAUCCUGCCACUGAGCCCCCAUCCCAGUAUGCCAGCCAUGCCCUCAUGGCCAAGAAAACGAGGCCCUGAAGAAUCUCAGGUCCACUGAGUGCCAGGGUGGCAGGGGCAGAGUGCCUCAGGGCUCAGUGAAGUUUGGACUGAUAUAUCACAAAUAUCACAAAUGUUCUAUAAAAGUAAGUAGACAUAAAAGUAUACAUACUGUGUAAUUUGAUUUAUGCAAAAUCAAUAAACAGACAAACUGAGGUCCUGGCUUUCAGUAAUACUGGAGUAGCUUGUUGAAUUAACACAGAUUAUAAUGAUAACACCAGAAUAAUAUAUUAUAUUUUGUUAUAGAAACACAUCUGUAUAAUACAAGUAUGACCUAUGUGUGAGUAAGAACUGAAUGGGGAUUUCAGCUGUGCCCACUAUAGGGGAGAUAGAUAUUGAGGUUUGAAUCCAGCCCAAUUAACACCUUUUGUAAAACAUACUGCUCUUCAAAGUUACACAACAGAAUUGAGCAUCUCUAUAAUGAUUCUUUACAGUUUUAGAACACAAUUUUAAAAUUCAUGAGACGUGUAGAAACAUGAAAAUGUAAUCCAUUCACAAUUUAAAAAGCAGGCAGUAGAAGUGAUCCUAAGAUAUUCAAGGUUUUCUAAUUCAGGAUGUUUAAAGGCAGCUAUUAUAAAUCUGUUUAUGGGGGUAAAGGAAAAUAUUCUAACAGUGAAGAGAUGUGGAACCUCAGCAAAGACAUGGAAAUUAUGAAACAAUAGAAAGAUAAGGAAAUUUAAAAAAUACUUUUGAGCUUAUUCAAAGAUUAGAAACAGGAGACAGAGCAAUAGAAAUUGCCCAUUCCGAAUAAAAGAGUGAAAGAGCUUAAAGAAAAUGAAGAGUCUUAGAGACCUAUGGAGUGAUUGAGUCCAAGUUGGAGGGGGGA
rnacentral:lncRNA from 1 species